AAGGAAGAAGAGAGAGAGAGAGAGAGAGAACGAGAGCUAAGGUAAAGCGAGGAGGCGAAAAAGAAGAAAAAAAGGAGCGGAAGGAACAGAACCGUGUGGAAAGAGAGGAAAAAAGGAGGAAAGAGCGAGGGAAAAAUCAAGGGAAUCAAAGUGUGUCGUCGGUGGUGAGAAGGGAUGCCUACGAAAGGGGAAGGGGAAAAGCGACGGACUUCAGCAUCGCGGCCAUCAUGGCGCCCAGGGGUCCGUCCUUCGGGCAUUACCACCUGCAGGGCAUUGGCAACGCCGCCGCUACCGCUAAUACCAGCUUCGAAUGUCCAACCGGCAAAGCGUUCGUCGCCAAUUCGAAUCUCGAUCACCCGUAAAAAAGGACGAGCGUUUCGGAGAUCAACGCGAAAUGGAAACGAAUAGAAAUCGUCGUUUCUCCUCGAUAAAACUCUUUAUCUUUACGCUUACCUUUUUUCCUCACUUUCCUCUCCUCUUCUAAUCUCUCAAACGCCAGGAUAGAGAAAAGAUAUUAUCUUCUUGGAAAAAGAAGAUGAAUUCGAUGUCGGAUGAAUGAUCGUAGAGGCGAGUGAUCGAAGCGAAACGUUUGUACCGACUGUCCGACGGCAUCGAUCGCGGUCACGGAU